rnacentral:rRNA from 1 species
AGUGAACGCUGGCGGUAGGCCUAACACAUGCAAGUCGAACGGCAGCACAGUAAGAGCUUGCUCUUACGGGUGGCGAGUGGCGGACGGGUGCGGAAUACAUCGGAAUCUACUUUUUCGUGGGGGAUAACGUAGGGAAACUUACGCUAAUACCGCAUACGACCUACGGGUGAAAGCAGGGGAUCUUCGGACCUUGCGCGAUUGAAUGAGCCGAUGUCGGAUUAGCUAGUUGGCGGGGUAAAGGCCCACCAAGGCGACGAUCCGUAGCUGGUCUGAGAGGAUGAUCAGCCACACUGGAACUGAGACACGGUCCAGACUCCUACGGGAGGCAGCAGUGGGGAAUAUUGGACAAUGGGCGCAAGCCUGAUCCAGCCAUACCGCGUGGGUGAAGAAGGCCUUCGGGUUGUAAAGCCCUUUUGUUGGGAAAGAAAAGUAGCAGGUUAAUACCCCGCUGUUCUGACGGUACCCAAAGAAUAAGCACCGGCUAACUUCGUG